CCCCUCAUAGUUCUCCAGGGUCUAAUUGUCUAGGGGCAAAUCUCUUUCAUCUACAACCCUUCUAGGGAGAGUUGAGAAAGAGGAAGCGGAUGGUCCAGCAUCCUCUGGUUUGGGAACCUUGGACUGAUGUGUGUGACAGGCCCUGCUGCUGAGCUCAGCCCAAGCACUGAAGCUGUCUUUACUCAUGAGGCCCUGGAGUCUCUCCCUGAAAUCAAGCAUCAGCUCUGACCUGUCCCCACCCCGUCUACCCUUCACAUCUGCUCUUUGUUUAUACAUAGCUCAAGUGCCCUCUUCUGGGACUUCCAACCUCCAGGCUUCAGGGAUCUCCCCCCUUCUCGGGCUCAGAAACUAAGCUGUUGAACAGGGCUGAGAGCCGCAGUUCGCAGGAGCAGCUGAAAGCUAUUUCACCAUGAAGCGGACCUUGGCAGGCCUCGAAAGCUCCAUAUGGUCUGCAGCUC
rnacentral:lncRNA from 1 species